GAGACACAAAAUCUUCAUCUUUUAAAAUAAAUACUUGUUAUUGCAUGAAGGCUGUAAUAAUUUCUUUCAUAAUCAGUCCCAAAAUGCAUUACACCACAUUUACAAAACACAUGAUUUUAAACUCUACUACUUGGCCUGCUUUAUAAUGAAAGAUUCAGAUGAUCAUUCCCUAUUGGAUGACCUUUGACCUAUUCUACAGUAUCAUGAUGAUAUCAAAUCUGCAGCACAGGUAUUAAAUGCUCUCAGCAUCAAAGUCUGAAUGAAACUGAUCAUUAAAACAGUGUUUAGAGGGAGAAGAUCCACCCAAAAUAACAUGAAGUAAAUCAUGAGUGUCUGUUUCUGAAAAUGAUCAAUAGAAAUUUAUUAGCAAAGAUACUAAAUGACAAAACAGUGUUUCUGCUGUCUUCAGGUAAAUGAUCUGGAGUGUGUUUGCAUAUUGAUCAGAUGCUUCAGUGCUCUGAGAGUGUUUAUAGUGCUGUGAGUUUAACACUUCAUCACUGACACACACAACAAUCUUCAUCAACAUGACCUUCAUCAUCAUCUUCAUCUGGACUCUCACAGCGUUUGCUCAAGAGUGUAGAGGACAGAUCACCGUCACUCAGAGUCCCUCAAUGACAGCAGCUCAACCAGGACAAACUGUGAACAUCAACUGUAAAA